UAUCGAAUGGAGCGGCACCGUCGGAUGCGAAGGGAACUGCGCAUCAUGUGGACUUCCCAGGAGACCUAGGCGCAGCACCGGCUCUGGGAGGGCUGUAUCGAAGACCUCCGACGUGCCAAGCGAAACGGAGGCGUCUACGAGGAGAUCUCGAAGGAGCUGCAGCGUUGCGAGACCAUGAAAAGCAAGGGCCAGGUCCAUCACAAGAUAGAAAAUCUGACCAACAUGUACCGAUCUCCUCAUGAAGACCUACACUCCAUAUAGGGGAAGUGGCAUUCAAGACGUGACAGAGGACAGUUGCGAAGCCCCCCUAGAUGACGACUCCCUCGACCAUAGCCUGCAGCCAACAGACACCUGCCAGAUGUUGCUGACGCUGGAGGGGGAUGGCCAGCUGCCCAGCACAUCUCGGCUGGAGCCGACUCAUCCGGUGUCACCACCUCAAGUGGCUCCAGUGGCAGCACCGACGCAGGCUACGGUUUCACCUGCUGUGCUUCCAGACCCACCUUCAAGAAAGCCAGGCCACAAGGCAACCGCCUCAGAGCGUGAUGCCAGAGAGUAUGCAUCACUGUGCAAGAUUCUCAGUUCCUUGUAGCCAGCCUCACGUUAAGGAUGGUGAACUUACUUCCUGGUGGGCAGAUCGACUGCAUGCCGCGUGGUGUCCGAUGUCUGCGAUGCUCGAUGGGAUAUACUUCAGCCCGUGCACCUGAUCUGCCCGCAGACAGCUGAGGAAUGG
rnacentral:misc_RNA from 1 species